GAUGAAGAACGCAGUGAAAUGCGAUAAGUAAUGUGAAUUGCGGAAUUCAGUGAAUCAUCGAAUCUUUGAACGCACAUUGCGCCCGCCAGUAUUCUGGCGGGCAUGCCUGUUCGAGCGUCAUUUCAACCAUCAAGCCCCCGGCUUGUGUUGGGGACCUGCGGCUGCCGCAGGCCCUGAAAUGCAGUGGCGGGCUCGCUGUCACUCCGAGCGUAGUAGUUACAUCUCGCUCUGGGCGUGCUGCGGGUUCCGGCCGUUAAAAGCCUUAUUUACCCAAGGUUGACCUCGGAUCAGGUAGGAAGACCCGCUGAACUUAAGCAUAUCAAUAAGCGGAGGA
rnacentral:misc_RNA from 1 species